rnacentral:rRNA from 1 species
ACUCCUACGGGAGGCAGCAGUGGGGAAUAUUGCACAAUGGGGAAACCCUGAUGCAGCCAUGCCGCGUGUGUGAAGAAGGCCUUCGGUUGUAAAGCACUUUCAGUAGGGAGGAAGGUAGUGUAGUUAACACCUGCAUUAUUUGACGUUACCUACAGAAGAAGCACCGGCUAACUCCGUGCCAGCAGCCGCGGUAAUACGGAGGGGUGCGAGCGUUAAUCGGAAUUACUGGGCGUAAAGCGCAUGCAGGCGGCCUGUUAAGUCAGAUGCGAAAGCCCGGGGGCUUAACCUCGGAAUUGCAUUUGAAACUGGCAGGCUAGAGUCUUGUAGAGGGGGUUAGAAUUUCAGGUGUAGCGGUGAAAUGCGUAGAGAUCUGAAGGAAUACCAGUGGCGAAGGCGGCCCCCUGGACAAAGACUGACGCUCAGAUGCGAAAGCGUGGGGAGCAAACAGGAUUAGAUACCCUGGUAGGAUAGCG